rnacentral:rRNA from 1 species
AUUGAACGCUGGCGGCAUGCCUUACACAUGCCAGUCGAACGGUAACAGGUCUUCGGAUGCUGACGAGUGGCGAACGGGUGAGUAAUACAUCGGAACGUGCCCGAUCGUGGGGGAUAACGAGGCGAAAGCUUUGCUAAUACCGCAUACGAUCUACGGAUGAAAGCGGGGGAUCUUCGGACCUCGCGCGGACGGAGCGGCCGAUGGCAGAUUAUGUAGUUGGUGGGAUAAAAGCUUACCAAGCCGACGAUCUGUAGCUGGUCUGAGAGGAUGAUCAGCCACACUGGAACUGAGACACGGCCCAGACUACUACGGGAGGCAGCAGUGGGGAAUUUUGGACAAUGGGCGAAAGCCUGAUCCAGCAAUGCCGCGUGCAGGAUGAAGGCCUUCGGGUUGUAAACUGCUUUUGUACGGAACGAAAAGCCUCUUUCUAAUAAAGAGGGGUCAUGACGGUACCGUAAGAAUAAGCACCGGCUAACUACGUG